rnacentral:lncRNA from 1 species
UCAGGAAAGCAUUCAGGAAGAUCUAGGCACUUUCUGAAGGCUAGUGUUGACCUAUUCCUAAGAGAGACCAAGGUGACCCUGGGAAAGAACACACACAGGGGGAAGAAAGAGUCCACAUGGUGGUUUGUUUCAGGAAGAUAAUCCACAUGGUGGUUUGUUCAGGAAGAGAGCGUCAACUCUGCAGUCAGUUCUGUGUUGUUACUCACACUGUCCCAGGCCCAGCUCAAUGUAGCCAUUCCUGAAUCUCAGAUCAGGGUGCUGCAACACACCCCCUGCUUCCCCGUGAACCCCACUCCCUGGAGCAUUGAAGGACAAGGUAGCGGCAGCAUGGGCAGCACUCGGUCGUGCAUCCAACCAGCAUUUCCCGAGCGUCUCCUAAAUGCCAGGCUUGGUGCCGGGGGCUGGCAGUGUUGACAGCUGCUGCAGCACCUGCCUGGGACUCAGUCCUCAACAACCUCUGUGUAGCAGUCAGCAGUAACACAGAUGCCACCAAGGAGCUCCAGAUCACAGCUGACUAUUUUGAAAUCACAUUGAUGAUCAGAAGCAUGUUUUUAUUUGUAUGAUUAACACCACUGUGCUUAUGUGUGUUGGCAGGUCUCCUGCGAACAGGUUCAGGUUCACCAGUCUUGAAGGAGGACAUAUCCUCCUUUUUAAUAGCCUUGGAAAGCCCACCAACUCCAGAGAACAUUUGGGAGCAAGAGAUUUUACUGGCCAUUUUGUGGGAGGACAAGGAUCACCACAUAUUACUCAAGAAACAAAGGGAUAAAAAUCCCUGUUAGACAUUUUUUUCUCCCCACAAGCCUCUUCAGCUUUCAUCCCUUUCCAGCCCUCUCCUUGGCUGCCUCUAAAUCUCCAUAAUUCCCUUCCCUAUGCAGAGCAAUUUGGCCAGCUCUCCCAGGGGAGUUUUAAAGCAUUCACCCAGUAGGAAUCAUUUUCUCCAUAGAGGAGAUUUUGCACCUAAGAAAAUGAAGAAUUCUCUAUCAUUGCAUUUUUUAAUUUCUUUAACACCCUGCCUCAUUUCCAGAAGAACUCAAAGCAGCCAAAAGAAAAGAUAUCAAGCCACGUGGGGAGGAAAGUACUAGAACCUUCUGAUUCUUUCUAUCCUCAAAACUCAGGUUUGCUUUUUUUUUUUUUUUUUAUGGGCACACCUUUGGCAUAUGCACAGCUGCAGCACAGUCCUAUGCCACAUCCACAGCAAUGCCAGAUCUGAGUCACAUCUGUGAUCUAUGCUGCAGCUUGUGGCAACAGGAUCCUUAACCUACUGUGUGAGGCCAAGGAUUGAAUCCACAUCCUCACAGACACUAUAUUGGGAUCCCCUAUGUUGUGGGAGACACAACAGCAACUCCAAGACUCAGUUUUAAUGUCUCCUCUUCGACUUUCCCAAAAACUUAAUUUUAAAGAAGAUGCCUCCUCCUUCCUAAUGUUCUCUUAGUUGGUCUACUUGCUUAAUGUCCAUCCCUCCUGCUAAGCAAUCAUUUCCAUCAGAGCAGGUGCCAUACUGAUUGUGUUCACUACUGCAUCCCUUAUAAUAAAUAAUGAAUGGGUUCUGUCUGAUGAAUGAAUGGUAGAAAUGAGCUAUCAGUUAUCUGCUGCUGUGCAACAAAAUAUCCCCAAAUUUAGAGGCUUAAAACAACAACGCACAUUUGUUAUCUCACACAGUUUCUGCUAGUCAGGAAUCUAGGGGCAGCUGUGCUGAGUGGUUCUGACUCAGGGUCUCUCACAUCGUGACAAACUAUCAGCAAGGGCUGUAAUCAUCUGAAGGCUUGAUUGGGGCUCUGUGAUGAGUAUCUUCUUUGUAUUUGGCAACAUUUUUGAGGGGAACCAGUUUCUCUCCACUCGGGUAUUUUGCAAAAGAAAAGAGUGCUAGGACAGGUAGACUGGCAUUCAAAUCCUGCCACUUGCCAGCACCAUGAUCUUUUUGUAUAAGUCUUGACAGGUCUGAGCCUCUUUGUUCUCAUCUAUAAUAUGGGCAGAAAUCUUCUUCUCAAGAUGAUUACAAUUACAAUUAAGCAAAAGAAGCCCCAGAAGGCACUAAGCAGAGUGCCUGGCGUGUAAUAAGAGCUCAAAAAAUGGUUGCUGUCAGAAAUGCAUCAAAGUGAAGAUUCCCUCUCCUGAUAUGUGCUGGAUCUCAGCUUAGCAGUUUCCAGGCCACCUGAAUAGUAGAGCUGGCAGGGUUGUCAUGUCGCACGCAGAUGAGAGAACAAGUCCGGAGUACUUAGGCGGCUUGUGCACAGUGUGGCUUUGCUCCUCGCUGCUGGUCAGGAUCCUGGGCAGGGAACCGACUCUGGGAAGGUGAUGAGUGGCCAGAGACAGUGGUGUCCUGUCUGGGCUUCCCCAGGCUGUGCUGGGGUGAGCCAGGACUCUGGUUACUGUCUUGGUUGAUUCUUCCGGGGAGGCUCGUGUGCCUGACCCUCCCUCCAGCAAUGGGUCGAAGGGAUUAAUUAGCAGCUGGUAAAACAGCCGUGACAGGGCAUCCUUAUUCCAAUGAGCCACCGGAGUGCCUCCAGCAGCUAGCCAGAUGGAAAACAACCACUUAGGCUUUAAUGAGCUUGCUCGGCUGUAACUGGGGGGAGUCCUGAAAGCUUUACUAAUCAUCCCAUCUUGUUACUGCUGUUGUUCUUGUUGUUGGGGUUUUCUAGGUUUGGUUUUGUUUUUUGUUUGUCAUAGGGCUUUGGAGAGGUUGUUUGUUUACAUAUUUUUUUAAGGUUUUCCUCCCUGGACAGGCUCCUGCUUUGAUUAGUCAUCCAGCCUGUCACAUCCUACUUUCUGUAUAGAGGCUCAGCCAUUUGCAAAUGUGAUAUUAUGAGACUGUUUGCACCUGCCUGGUUUCACACUGUUUCAGUUUACCUGAAUGGCUUCCAUCUUUAACCCAAAAAGCUCAGGAUUUUUUUUUUAAUCCAUUCUAGAACCUAUUACAACCUACCCUGCACUCUAGAGGAGAAAGAAGCCAGAUUUUCUCUUUUCCAGAAAAAAAAUGACUCCCUGAUUAUCAGUGAACAAAGCACCGGACCCUUGUUAGGUCAGGAAGGUGGGUGGAGUGCCCUGCCCCAGGUUUUUAUGAAAAACUCUGUAUAUAAGUCACCACCAUGAGAAGUUCAAGGGAAAAUUGAUCUGUGUUCACACCACAGUAGGUUCAAGAUCCACCCCCACUGCACACAUGGCUUAAAAGAGGCAAAACUCCUACAUAUGCAGGAAACUAUACAAGUGAGGCCUCAGGGCACAGGAGAGAAGAACCAUAGCGACAAGCAAGUUCUGGGCAACUGAUGGCGCGUGAUGGGUGGUGGACACCACAAAGUCAGGCUUUAGGACAUCACUCAACCCACCUAAAGCGGGUGUGGUGUUCUCACCAGGAGUCAUACUCUGGAGCUGGGGUUCUGCCUCUAGAAGGCACCUGGGAAGGAUUCAAAGACAAGGUCUGUGAGGUCAGCGAUUGGCCCGGCAGGACUGGGGCUUGAGAGGCCAGGUGUAAAGCGAGAGAGGGAACUGACAAGAGGCAUAGAUCCUUCUUGAGGUGAUCUGAUAUUGCUGAUAUUGCUAUUUUACAGAUGAGAAAACUAAGGCCCAGAGAGAUGAAGUCAAUUGCUUAAAAUCACAGUUUGCCAUAGUCUUGCUUCCUAGGCCAUGACUCUUUACAGUAGAAAAGUCAGCAGCAGGAGGAGGCAGCGUGAAAAGCGGAGGUGAGAUGAGAGUUUCUGGGGCUUCUGGAGAGGCACUGAAAGGCAGGCAGCUGGGUACUCCAAAUACUUCACAUGUUUUCUAGGGAUUACCCGGCUUAGUGAGUAAUGAAGGUGACCAUUCCAAGAAAUUGAAUUUUGCUUCAAGGGUAAGGAAAAACAGAUGUCGAAAGAAAGAAGGGCCUAUUCAAUUUAGUUAGAUGCUCAAAAAGAGAGAGGCUGAGAUGAAGCACUGUCAGGUGACCUUGGGAAGAUCUAUGCAAAUCCAGGAGUUUGCUAGAAGCACUGCAGGCAGUUCAGAUCUACGGAGACACUUCCAGCAGAAAGUCUGUUGAAAGAGAAUAGAAAUAAAUUGAUUAUCGGGAGUACCUAAGAAUAACAUAGUUAUCCAAAGAUAGGUGCCAAAGGCCAAUUUUGUCCAGUGUGCCCACUGCCCACACUCCCAACAACAAUAGCUUACAAGGGUGGCUGACCCUGGGUCCUGGGAUUCUCUACCUCAUGGAGGACUGCUUAUCCCUCAGAAGUGGGGAAGGACAAAGUUUCUUAGAGGCCUUCCAUGUUAGGUUGGCAAACAAGAAUAUGGACCCUGAGAGGAAUGGGUUGGGGACAUUGAGGAGGGUGAGGAUGCUGGACCCUGAGCUCCCCUAAAUGUAUUGGUAAUGUAGGCUCUGUCAUCAGGUGUAAUGCAUUCUGAUUCUCAGUUCAUUGGUGGCUUUCAGGACAUUGGUGAUGAGCCUGGUCAUCUAGGGCUUUGAUGCAAGAAGACUCAGGCCCAUCUCCAUCCCCGGGUGGGGAGGAGCCAGGCGACAGCCUUGUGUGGUCCUCGGACUCACACUACACUCACUUGGUCAUUGUCACUUUCCUGCAGGCAUCAUAUCCUGGGGCCUCUGGUCUCAAAAAGGUCCAAUUUCUGCUGAAAACACUGCAAAAAGAAGUCUCUCUUCUUGUCAAACAACAGUUUGCAAGCUUCAGAAGGUGUUGGACACUGACUUCCUUUUUUCUGUUCCUUAUCAGAAAUGUGAAAGGCAGCUAAUGGGCCAAGAGGCUGUUGCAGAUCUAAACCCUCCCAAUUGUCUUCCCAUGUACCUGCCAGCACAUCACCUCCUGAAGCACCACGAUACCCAAGCCCAUCUACCUGUCAGGAGUCUCACCAGGACAGGAAGAACCAACAGAUUUCUGAAAAGCAUUUGAUAAAGCAGAAGAGAACACUUUAAAAAUCAGAUCUUUAAAAAUAGAUACUCUCAAACCGUGCUGGUAGAAGCGCAUGUUGGAGAGCCUUGUUGGCAGGCCAUUUGGCAAAAGGCAUCAAAAGCAUCAAAAGUGCAUCUGCCACUUGAGCCAGGAAUUCCACUUCUAGGAACUUACCCUGGGGAAACAGUCUAAGAUGUGCCUAAAGAUUAAGAUGCCAGGGAAUUCGGUAUAGCCUGCUUAGAAGAGGGAAAAAGCUGGAGACAACCAAAAAGGAGAGCAGCUUUGAGAAAUAAGGAUGGUGAUAGAUGAUAGGAUGAAUCCUAGGCUGCCUCUCCAAGUGAUGUCCCAAAAUAGUGUAAAGUGAAAGAAAGGGGGGAAGGGAGAAAACGAUGUUGUAUGUACAAUAAAGUCUUUUUUUCUUUUUUGGCUUCCUGUGACUUAGGCUGCAGCUGCGGUGACAUGGGAUCCUUUAACCCACUGUGCCAGGCUGGGGAUUGAACCCGCAUCCUGGUGAUGCAGAGAUGCCACUGAUCCUGUUGUGCCACAGUGGGAACUCCAAUAAAAUCUUAUUUUUGUAAAAAUGUAUGAAAGACAUAUUGCAAGAGGUAUUUGUGGGAUUACAUGUGAAUCUAUGGUCUUUUGCGGCUCAGUAUAUUCUAAUCUUUCUGCAGGAAACAUAAAUUCAUUCAGUCUUUCAACAGAUGUGUACUGAGUACACAUUUGAUACCUAUAUCAAGAGCUGUGCUAGGUCAGUAUUGAGAAAUAAAAAUCAUGUUCACCAGAACGUUUUGGUCUAUUGAUACGCAUGCAAUUUAAAAAAUAAUUGUACUAUAGUACUAAUAGCAGUAAUCAUACUAUUUAGGUAUUAUUCAAUCUAGAGUCCAGGAGGUGAGUUAUACCAGAGGCUCUCGAGUCUACAAACCACCCUGUAGUGCUGAAAUCCAUGGCCUGCCACCUCUUUCUCCCACACCCCACUCCUGCUUGCCAAGGCAAGUCAAGCAAAAAUUUUGGAAGGGCAGCGGGGAAAGCCAGAUCUGCUUUUGGAGAAGGCUAUAUACUUCAUUAAAUAUCACAAGGCAUUACUGAUUUACAUGGAAACAGGUUACCUGUGGUGAGAGAUGGAGCAACAGGAUUAAGAGCAAGGGUGGCUAUGGUACCACCCCUGCUGAGGAGUCUGGGUGGCUUUCAAAAUUCAUUAACGUCUCUGGGCCACACUUUUCCUGUGGGAAAAAUGGGAACAAUAAUGUCUGCUCUGCCUGCAUUACUGCUAUGAAUGAGGUAAACAUAUCUGCCUUGCCUCCUUGCAUGGGGUGACUUUUCUACUCACACCGACCCUCUUGGGAGCCCGCCUCACCCCAGCAUGGGCCUUAGCAGCCGAGUCUCUAUCCUGUGGCCUCAGCUCACUGGACCAGGAGCAGUCACUACCAUCAUGCAGGCUCCCUCAGACUUCUUCCCUGGGGAUUUUAGAAGGAGCAACAGGAGGCUCAGGCUCAGUCUGGGCAGGUUUUUUGAAAGGAAAACAUGAAAAACCUCAGUAUAUGGGCUUGGCCAUCUUAGAAGAAACUGGGCCACAGAAGAACAGAGAUGCAUGCUAGAAGAGGCAGAGCUGAUAGGUUCCCAGUUCCUGAGUCCUGGCCUGGACUGAAACUGAGCUUUAUUCUGUCUUCAAGUCUAGGGAAAUGCCUUCAUAUUUUUAUCAUAAAUUCCCCAGUUUGCUUCCAGUAGCUCAAAGGAUCUCAGCUUCUCAUGACUAAAGGGUUCUAAUACCCUUGCUCACAAAGCUCAUGUGAAAAUCAGAUCGACACAUUUCACCUGAAACACUUGAAAACCCCUCUAAAAAGUCUGUCCCCUGGAGCUCCUGCCGUGGUGCAAUGGUAUCCACAGUGUCUUUGGAGCACUGGAUCUCAGGUUCGAUCCCUGGCCUGGCCCAGUGGGUUAAGGAACCAGUGUUGCUGCAGCUAUGGCUUAGCUUGUGACUGUGGCUGGGAACUGAUCCCAGGUCUGGGAACUCCAUAUGUUGCAGGUGGCCAAAAAUGAAAAAAAAAAAAAAAAAA